rnacentral:rRNA from 1 species
CCUANGGGCGGCAGCAGUGGGGAAUAUUGGACAAUGGGCGAAAGCCUGAUCCAGCAAUGCUGCGUGAGUGAUGAAGGCCUUAGGGUUGUAAAGCUCUUUUACCCGGGAAGAUAAUGACUGUACCGGGAGAAUAAGCCCCGGCUAACUCCGUGCCAGCAGCCGCGGUAAUACGGAGGGGGCUAGCGUUGUUCGGAAUUACUGGGCGUAAAGCGCGCGUAGGCGGCUUUGUAAGUUAGAGGUGAAAGCCCGGAGCUCAACUCCGGAACUGCCUUUAAGACUGCAUCGCUAGAAUUGUGGAGAGGUGAGUGGAAUUCCGAGUGUAGAGGUGAAAUUCGUAGAUAUUCGGAAGAACACCAGUGGCGAAGGCGACUCACUGGACACAUAUUGACGCUGAGGUGCGAAAGCGCGGGGAGCAAACAGGAUUAGAUACCCUGNUANUC